CAUGAGUUUGAGUAAGCUCCGGGGGGUUGGUGAUGGACAGGGAAGCCUGGCGUGCUGCAGUCCAUGGGGUCCCAAAGAGUCACACAGGACUCAGCGACUGAACAGGACUGAGCGACUGACCCGAACUGAGAGCGGCCUCCUGAAGACCCGCCCCCGAAGCCAUAGCAACAGCAACAGGAAGUUCCUGAGCGGCCUUCCGGGUGGGCAGCGGCAAUGGCUGAUGGGAAGUGUGGCGGUUUGUCUUACGGUGGUACAGAAUUCGGGUCCGCUCUUUCCUAUCUGAAUUAAUUUUGUGGAUAGUUUCUUAUGUUCCCUGGGGUGGCGAACAUUUCCGGGAGGAUUGAGAGCGAGCAUGGGGAUGGCGUUAGUUUUCAGACCCAUUCUAAGAGUCAUCGAGAAGAGUAACGCGAAGAUGGACGCGUAUCAGUGGCGUGUGGACAUGCGCAUCAGCGCUGUACGGACUUCCCAAGUCAGCUGUGUGCCCUAGACCUUCAAGCUAUUUAGUGGGAAGUUUCUGCUGGCCCUUUAGUUUGUGGAUCGGGGCUUGAGUGUUUGAGGGAGAGAAAGAGAAAGCCAAGUAGCCCCGGAGCCCCUUUUAAGAGGGCAUCAUUCACCCAGCUGUCCGUGCGUCCGUUCAUUCAUAAAGCAAAUAUUCACUGAGCACCAGUUACGUACCAGACACAGUUUUAGACUCUGGGGAUCCAAGACACUGAAGAUCACAAGAGUCCUGUGCUCAGGGACCACUCCUUCUAGGGAGUGGAGACAGAACAUAAAUAAACAACCGAGUCGAUUUCAGAUAGUGAUAAGUGACAGUAAGAAAAUAAAACGGGGUGAUAUGUUGGAGAGAAACGUGGUGGAUAUGUACCCAUUUUCACUGGGUGGUCAGAUUCAGCUUCUUCAAGGAGAUGACAGGUGCAGUGCCUAUAUGGAACUCUGCUUCAGGAAGUGCUGAUGGGAAUCGUGAUUAGAAAGCAUGGUGCUGUAUGGAACUCAAGGAAGAGGAAAGCUACAGGAAACUCAGACUGGCCACCGCUGUAGCUCACAGCGGCGUGGGCAGACAGAAGCAUCUGUGUAAAUCUCCGUAUGAUGCCAGGAGCUCUCAGGAGAGGCUCAGAACUACUGUAGAAUGUCCAGCCUUCCUGGCAAAUGGAACUCAGUGACAAGACAUCAAAACCCUCAAAUUCACCAGGAACAUUACCAUUUGUGACAACAUGGAUGGACCUUGAAGGCAUUAUGAUAAAUGGAAUAAGUCAUACAGAGGAAGACAAAUACUGUUUACUCUCACUUGUAUGGGGAAUUUU